UACGUAGGGUGCAAGCGCUAAUCGGAAUUACUGGGCGUAAAGCGUGCGCAGGCGGUGAUGUAAGACAGGUGUGAAAUCCCCGGGCUUAACCUGGGAACUGCAUUUGUGACUGCAUCGCUGGAGUGCGGCAGAGGGGGAUGGAAUUCCGCGUGUAGCAGUGAAAUGCGUAGAUAUGCGGAGGAACACCGAUGGCGAAGGCAAUCCCCUGGGCCUGCACUGACGCUCAUGCACGAAAGCGUGGGGAGCAAACAGG
rnacentral:rRNA from 1 species